UUGUUAUAUUAAAGGGCAGAAGAUAAGCAUUCCCCUUGAUAGCCAUUCCAUCCUUGUCAAUACGUGUAUAGUUAAGGCAGUGUUGCCUACUCUAAGACAACACAUUUUUUU
rnacentral:ncRNA from 1 species